rnacentral:rRNA from 1 species
UACGGGGGGAGCAAGCGUUGUUCGGAUUUACUGGGCGUAAAGGGCGCGUAGGCGGCCACCGCAAGUCGACUGUGAAAGCCCCCGGCUCAACUGGGGAGGGUCACUCGAUACUGAUCGACUUGAAGGCAGGAGAGGGAAGCGGAAUUCCCGGUGUAGUGGUGAAAUGCGUAGAUAUCUGGAGGAACACCGGUGGCGAAAGCGGCUCACUGGAUCGAAACUGACGCUGAGGUGCGAAAGCUAGGGUAGCAAACGGG